GACGAACGCUGGCGGCGUGCCUAAUACAUGCAAGUAGAACGCUGAAGGAGGAGCUUGCUUCUCUGGAUGAGUUGCGAACGGGUGAGUAACGCGUAGGUAACCUGCCUGGUAGCGGGGGAUAACUAUUGGAAACGAUAGCUAAUACCGCAUAAGAGUAGAUGUUGCAUGACAUUUGCUUAAAAGGUGCAAUUGCAUCACUACCAGAUGGACCUGCGUUGUAUUAGCUAGUUGGUGGGGUAACGGCUCACCAAGGCGACGAUACAUAGCCGACCUGAGAGGGUGAUCGGCCACACUGGGACUGAGACACGGCCCAGACUCCUACGGGAGGCAGCAGUAGGGAAUCUUCGGCAAUGGAUGGAAGUCUGACCGAGCAACGCCGCGUGAGUGAAGAAGGUUUUCGGAUCGUAAAGCUCUGUUGUAAGAGAAGAACGAGUGUGAGAGUGGAAAGUUCACACUGUGACGGUAUCUUACCAGAAAGGGACGGCUAACUACGUG
rnacentral:rRNA from 1 species